rnacentral:lncRNA from 1 species
UUUGGUGAGGGGGUGAGGGCAUAAGCUUCGCAGCCAGACAGUCGUCACACGCACUCACAUACACACAUAUACAGACACACCUCCAAACAGCUGAUUUGUUGUCAUCAUCAUAAAACCGCUGAAUGGAGCAGCCCCAAAUCGUGAGAGAGGAAGAGCAAGUCAGCGCCAGAGAGCAGAGCUAUCCAAAAACUCUCUCACGAAACAACAAAAAAGUCGGAAAAAAAGCGACGACGCCAACGGCGGCUGCUGCUAUGGCAACGACCUUCCUUAUUUAUUACAAUGUGUAUGGAUUUAAGUG